rnacentral:lncRNA from 1 species
AAAAAGAUAAUAUUCGGAGCAUGACUUUGUGGUGUCCCAUUGUAUUUUGUCCCUUCUCUCCCUGUCGAUACAAUCCACAAAAAAUAAUUUCCCUUCUUCGACAACAUAUCCACAAAAAAUCAGAUUUUAAGAGACAGCAAGAUAAAAUCAAUGGCUGUAUGUAGAUUCAUGAUUCAUCACGCACACCGUUACAGAAUUGAGAUUUAUGUGGAAAGAAUUUACCAACAACUGGUGGGCUUAAGCCAAACCCAAUUAAUUAAUUUUCUGAUUUGAUGGUGGCUAUGGCGGCAUCAAGCUGUUACUUUUCAUAUAAUCAUCAUAACUGCCUAUGCCAAUUCCACAUGAAUCGGGCCGUUGGCACGCUGUCCUUCUGCCGUCAGCUCAGCAGCUGUGGCAGGAUUUCCGGGCUCGGGCUCGGGCUCGUGCUGCACAAGUGGAAGAAGCAGAGAUGGAUGGACCCCCGGACGACGCCGUUCCGGACUGCUCGUCACUGCUCAGUUCUCGAGCUCUUUAUCAGUUGACAUUGGCUUGGAUUCUCUAGGUUAAUUUCUCUCUCUCCAAUUUUUUUGGAGGUGUAGGGUUUUUGGAUUAUUGAUUCUAGUGUUAAACCUUUGAUUAGCUCUGAUUCAGUUGUUCAUUAUUCAAUGACUUUAUUGAUUUAUUCUACUGAGUAAUAUUUGAAAUCGCGAGCGAUUUGAUGCAGUUUCUGUGGUGCGAUUGUGUUAUUGAAGCGAUAUUAUAUGUUUAACCCGUUCGGUUUUUAUUUUGAUUUUUGAAAUUUUGGUUCAUUUAGAUUACUAUAUUGUGAGAUUUGAUGUAUAUUGAUAUAUUUAUUGUGUGAAAUUGAAGAGUAAUUACACCUAUGAUUCAUCACAUUUGCCGUGGGCUGGACCUCUCCCGGGGGAUAUCGCAGAAGUCGAGGCUUACU